UCUCAAAUUGAUCUGUUGAGG
rnacentral:piRNA from 1 species